rnacentral:tRNA from 1 species
GGUGUUGUGGCUCAAGCGGUAGAGUGCUCAUCUUGCACAUGUGAGGCAUGGGGUUCAAUCCUCAGCACCA